AAUGAAAAUAAAAUUUUAAUGGCCGCAGUAAUUUGACUGUGCAAAGGUAGCAUAAUCAUUAGUCUUUUAAUUGAAGGCUUGUAUGAAUGGUUGGACGAAGUAUAAUCUGUUUCAAUUAAAUUUAAGAUAGAAUUUAAUUUUUUAGUAAAAAAGCUAAAAUUUUUUUAAAAGACGAGAAGACCCUAUAAAUCUUUAUAUUUUAUUUUAUUUUAAUUUUAUUGAUUUUUUAUAUUUUUAUAAAUUAAAUUAUUUUGUUGGGGUGAUAUUAAAAUUAAAAAAACUUUUAAUUAUUAAAAACAUUAAUAUAUGAAUUGUUGAUCCAUAAAUAAUGAUUAUAAGAAUAAGUUACUUUAGGGAUAACAGCGUAAUUUUUUUAGAAAGUUCUUAUUGAUAAAAAAGUUUGCGACCUCGAUGUUGGAUUAAGAUAUAAAUUUAGGUGUAGUUGCUUAAA
rnacentral:rRNA from 1 species